rnacentral:lncRNA from 1 species
GUUCACAGCAUGCUCCGCGUCCGCGGGCUACUGGAAGUUCACAUACGCGUAGCCCAAGGAGCCGUGGGUGAUCAUGUCCCUGCAGACCCGGAUGGAGAGGAUGAGCCCGGCCGCGCUGAACUUCUUGUAGAGCAUCGCCUCGGUCACGUCGGGAUGGAGGUCCCCCACGUACAGCGAGGACGUAGCUGGGGGCACUGGGGUUCAUCUCGGCACUGCUGCUCGCAGGGCCACAGGCCGCGACCUUUCCGUGAGAGGAGGAGAGCGAAUGCUGGGGCUAGGGGCCGGAGCUGGGGGAAGAAGAUGGAGUAUACACCUCCACCUCUUUGAGUUCAGGCUUGCCACUGUGACUGCUUUGGCCUUUGGAAACUGGGCUGAAGGGACAGGGUGCCAGUUCUAGGCAGAAACUUUGAGAUCCAGGGCAUGACUCAUCACAAGCAGGGAGUUCCUUCCAGUUCUUGAUAAAGAUAAAGGGAGCACCCAUGGACUUGAGUAACUGCAGAGGAGCACCGUGGUGCACAGAUGUAUUCCCA